rnacentral:rRNA from 1 species
AUUGAACGCUGGCGGAAUGCUUUACACAUGCAAGUCGAACGGCAGCACGGACUUCGGUCUGGUGGCGAGUGGCGAACGGGUGAGUAAUGUAUCGGAACGUGCCCAGUCGUGGGGGAUAACGUAGUGAAAAUUACGCUAAUACCGCAUACGAUCUAUGGAUGAAAGCGGGGGAUCGCAAGACCUCGCGCGAUUGGAGCGGCCGAUAUCAGAUUAGGUAGUUGGUGGGGUAAAGGCCCACCAAGCCAGCGAUCUGUAGCUGGUCUGAGAGGACGACCAGCCACACUGGAACUGAGACACGGUCCAGACUCCUACGGGAGGCAGCAGUGGGGAAUUUUGGACAAUGGGCGAAAGCCUGAUCCAGCCAUUCCGCGUGCGGGAUGAAGGCCCUCGGGUUGUAAACUGCUUUUGUACAGAACGAAAAGGUUUCUACUAAUACUAGGAGCUCAUGACGGUACUGUAAGAAUAAGCACCGGCUAACUACGUGCCAGCAGCCGCUGUAA